AGUGAACGCUGGCGGUAGGCCUAACACAUGAAAGUCGAACGGCAGCACAGCAGUAGCAAUACUGUGGGUGGCGAGUGGCGGACGGGUGAGGAAUACAUCGGAAUCUACCUUUUCGUGGGGGAUAACGUAGGGAAACUUACGCUAAUACCGCAUAAGACCUUCGGGUGAAAGUGGGGGACCUUCGGGCCUCACGCGGAUAG
rnacentral:rRNA from 1 species